rnacentral:rRNA from 1 species
AGAUGGGAGAAAUCACGCCAAUGGCGGAUGCCUUGGCAGUUUGAGCCGAAGAAGGACGUGUGCACGAGCACGAUACCGACGAUGAGUCCUUAAGCAGACAUUACUAAUCGUCGAUUUCCGAAUGGAGUAAUCCCUCUACUAGCAAUAGUGGAGAUCCUUUGCACUUGUGUAGAGGAGGGGAACCCUGGGAACUGAAACAUCUCAUUACCAGGAGGAAAAGAAAUCAUAUGAGAUUUCGUUAGUAGCGGUGAGCGAAAGCGAAGAAGCCCAAAUCAACACCUUCGGGUGUUGAGUGUUGCGGGACUACAAUAUUCCAAGCUCUAUUGAUAAAAGAAUGGCAUGGAAAGGCCAACCAAAGAUGGUGAAAGUCCAGUAUUUAAAAUCAAAAGAGCAGAUAGUAGUAUCCCAAGUACCACGGGACACGGAAAACCCUGUGGGAAACCGGGUCGGUCACGAUCCAAGGCUAAAUACUCAAACUGACCGAUAGUGAACUAGUACCGCGAGGGAAAGGUGAAAAGUCCCCCGGAAGGGGAGUGAAAUAGUACCUGAAACCAUUGGCUAACAAACAGACAAAGCUUGUCCUUUGGACAAGAAGUUUAAAGUGAAACGUGAGAAAGUCUAAAGUUAAAUAAAUACAUUUAUUACUUUAUGAACUUUUAAUCUUAUAUACUUUUAAACUUCUCGCCCAGAGGGCGAGUAAUGUCGUGCCUAUUGAAGAAUGAGUCAGCGAGUUUUCUAACAUGUGCUUUAUGUUUAACCAAGUUGCUCUUGGGAAGGCAAAGCGAAAGCAAGUCCGAAUAAGGCGUCAUGCACUGUUGGAAAGACCCGAAACCAGGUGAGCUAACCAUGGACAGGAUGAAGCUAAUCGAGAGAUUAGUGGAGGUCCGCACCCGUUGCCGGUGAAAUGGCUUGGGAUGAUCUGUGGUUAGUGGUAAUAUGCCUAUCGAACCUGGAGAUAGCUGGUUCUCCCCGAGAUAUAUUUAGGUAUAGCCUCUUGAAUUAUUCCAUGGGGUAGAGCGACUGGAUAAAGCAUGUGGGAGCAAUCCUACCUGUUUUGACCAAACUCCGAAUACAUGGAUGUUAUCAAGGGAGUCAGACUCGCCCGUAUAAGCGGGUGUGGUCGAAAGGGAAACAGCCCAGACUUUCGUCUAAGGUUCCCAAAUAUCUGUUAAGUGGAAAAGGCCGUUCUGUUUCCAAUACAGCAGGGAGGUUGGCUUAGAAGCAGCCAUCCUUUAAAGACCGCGUAACAGCCCACCUGAAUACCCCUCGCUUUAUGUGAGGGAGGAAAUAUUGCGCCGAAAAUGAUCGGAGCUCAAACAGAUUACCGAAGACAGAGAUGCUUGUGCUUUGCACAAGAAUUUUCAAAUAUCUAAUUUCUAAAGGAUCAAGCAAAUAUUUAAUAUAUAAAUAUUCAAAUUCUAAACAUAUUUGUUUUUUAUUUGAUGUUUAGUAUUUAUUUGUGAAUUAGAAUUUAUGUAAAUUGGAAAUUCUCGCGCAGAGCGCGAGCGUGGUAGGGGAGCGUUCUUAUUGCCUUGAAGCUUCACUGUAAAGUGGGGUGGAGUGGUAAGAAGUGAGAAUGCUGACAUGAGUAGUGAUUCUCCCGAUGAAAACUCGGGAUGCCGAAUACCCAAGGUUUCCUCAGCAACGCCAAUCGUCUGAGGGUUAGUCGGAUCUAACCGCUCACUGUAGUAGGUGAGGGGGAUGUACAAGCAGUUAAUAUUCUGCUACUUUUAAUACCGCGUUAUUACUUUUGCACUGACGAAAUAUGAUAUACAAGGCUUUCUAUAUGAGAGUCUAAGUAACAAGUCCGUCCUUAAUUCGUUUUGGAUGUAUAAGUUACGAAUGCAAUCGGCCUUUUGGCUGAAAGCUUGUUACGUUGUGUUUCCGGGAAAAGGUGCGUAAAGGAGUUGUAUCAAAAUCCGUACCGCAAACCGACACAGGUGGGUAGGUCGAGUAGACCAAGGCAUACGGGUCAUGGUAGUUCAAGGAACUCGGCAAAAAAGCUGAGCGUAAGUUUUGCGAUAUGCUCUUCCUAACUUGUUCUUCGAACAAGAAUGUUCAAUGAUCAAUUUCUAAUGAUCAAGCAAUAUCCAAUAUAUUAAUUUUCAAAUUCAUCAAUUAUAUUGAUUUUUAUUUGAUAUUUAGUAUUUGUUAUUUGUUUGUUACUUAGGAUUUUGUAAAUUGGAAAUUCUCGCUCGGAGAGCGAGCUUAGGACACAGCAAAUGUUUGUCAACCGACUGUUUAGCAAAAACACAGGCUCCUGCAAACCAGAAAAUGGGACGUAUAGGAGCUGAGGCCUGUCCGGUGCUGGUCAGUUAACCAUUGGGGUUGAUCUCCAACACGUAAGUUUUGGAAUGAGGCUCUGGUGUAAGCUCCAGUGAACGACAGCUCUAACCCUGAGAGUUCUAAGGUAGCGUAGCCCCUUGCCGGGUAAGUUCCGGCCUGCAUGAAUGGCUUAACGAGUUGACAACUGUCUUGAACUAUUGCCCGACGAAAUUGAAAUGGCCGUGAAGAUGCGGCCUACCUGCACUAGGACAAAAAGACCCCGAGAGCUUUACUGAAACUUGACAUUGGUGCGAGGAUAUAAACUGUCGAGAAUAGGAGGGAGCCCUCCGAAUAGGAGGGCAACAAGUGGAAUACCUCUCUUUUAUAUUCUUUCACCUUAUCUUUACUAUGAGGAAACAGUGUUAGGUGGUCAGUUUACCUGGGACGGGUCCCUCCAAAAGAGUAACGGAGGGGCGCAAAGGUUUGCUUUCUCCGGAUGGAAAUCGGAGUGUAUGUGUAUACGCAUAAGCAAGCUUGACUGCGAGAGUGACCACUCGAGCAGGUGCGAAAGCAGGCGUAAGUGAUCCCCCAUUCCGCUGUGAUUGCGGAAGGGGCUUAACGGAUAAAAGCUACCUCGGGGAUAACAGGCUAGUCUCCCCCGAGAGUCCACAUCGACGGGGAGGUUCGGCACCUCGAUGUCGGCUCAUCACAUCCUGGAGCUGUAGUCGGUUCCAAGGGUUGGGCUGU